CGCGCGCGGGCGCCCAACCACUGCUGCAGCCCGCAGGGACCGGAGACGUGCGGAGUCUGUUGUCUGUCGCCUUCGCAGGGCUACAAGCGAACUUUAGGUUUUAACCAAGAAGCAAGAAAGAAGAACUGAUUUUGCCAGGCACACUGAGCUUCCCAUUGUUUCCACUCUUCAGGAUCGAUCUUAGUGCCUUUUCCAUGAAGUCUCCCCUUCUGCUCCCUAGAACUCUGUGGGUGGCUCAGUCCAGGCUGCCCUAGUACAUUUAUUUUUUUGGCUGCUUCCUCUAAUCCAACAGUUAUUUAAAAAUUCCAUUAAGGCAGAUAUAUAAACUUAUUAUAUACUUUCAGUGCCUUGAACAGUCCUUUACAACUCAUAGGUGCUUGUUGACUUAAUUUCAUUUUCAAAAGGAACUUUGAUUUCAAAGGAUGUCAGGAUGUCAAA